rnacentral:rRNA from 1 species
AUUGAACGCUGGCGGCAGGCCUAACACAUGCAAGUCGAACGAGUGGCGGCCGGGUGAGUAAUGUCUGGGAAACUGCCUGAUGGAGGGGGAUAACUACUGGAACCGGUAGCUAAUAACGCAUAACAUCAAGUGGGCAACGAUGGGAUUCACUAGUUGGUGGGGUAAAGGCUCACAAAGGCGACGAUCACUAGCUGGUCUGAGAGGAUUACCAGCCACACUGGAACGGAGACACGGUCCAGACGCCUACGUGAGGCAGCAGUGUGUAAUAUUGCACAAUGUGCGCAAGCCUGAUGCAGCCAUGCCGCGUGUAUGAAGAAGGCCUUCGGGUUGUAAAGUACUUUCAGCGGGUAGGCGUUACCCGCAGAAUAAGCACCGGCUAACUCCGUGCCAGCAGCCGCGGUAAUUC